rnacentral:rRNA from 1 species
ACGGGAGGCAGCAGUGAGGAAUAUUGGUCAAUGGGCGGAAGCCUGAACCAGCCAAGUCGCGUGAAGGAUGAAGGUAUUAUGUAUUGUAAACUUCUUUAGCAGCAGAGUAAUAAGGAGGUCGAGACCUCCGAUGCAAGUAUGCUGAAAAUAAGGAUCGGCUAACUCCGUGCCAGCAGCCGCGGUAAUACGGAGGAUCCGAGCGUUAUCCGGAUUUAUUGGGUUUAAAGGGUGCGCAGGCGGCCUGUUAAGUCAGUGGUUAAAUCGUGAGGCUCAACCUCAUCACGCCAUUGAUACUGGUAGGCUUGAUUGCGGUUGAGGUUGGCGGAAUUCGUCGUGUAGCGGUGAAAUGCAUAGAUAUGACGAAGAACUCCGAUUGCGAAGGCAGCCUUCUGGGGUGUUACUGACGCUGAGGCUCGAAAGUGCGGGAAUCAAACAGGAUUAGAUACCCUGGUA